AUUGAACGCUGGCGGCAGGCCUAACACAUGCAAGUCGAGCGAGCGGCGGACGGGUGAGUAAUGUAUGGGGAUCUGCCCGAUAGAGGGGGAUAACUACUGGAAACGGUAGCUAAUACCGCAUACUAUCGGAUGAACCCAUAUGGGAUUAGCUAGUUGGUGGGGUAAAGGCUCACCAGGGCGACGAUCUCUAGCUGGUCUGAGAGGAUGACAAGCAACACGGGAACUGAGAAACGGCCCAGACUCUUACGGGAGCAAGCAGUGGGGAAUAUUGCACAAUGGGCGCAAGCCUGAUGCAGCCAUGCCGCGUGUAUGAAGAAGGCCUUAGGGUUGUAAAGUACUUUCAGCGGGGAGGCGUUACCCGCAGAAGAAGCACCGGCUAACUCCGUGCCAGCAGCCGCGGUAAUAC
rnacentral:rRNA from 1 species